rnacentral:rRNA from 1 species
UACGAAGGGGGCUAGCGUUGCUCGGAAUCACUGGGCGUAAAGCGCACGUAGGCGGGCUCUUAAGUCGGUGGUGAAAUCCUGGAGCGCAACUCCAGAACUGCCUUCGAUACUGAGAGUCUUCGAGUCCGGGAGAGGUGAGUGGAACUGCGAGUGUAGAGGUGAAAUUCGUAGAUAUUCGCAAGAACACCAGUGGCGAAGGCGGCUCGCUGGAUCGCAACUGACGCUGAGGGACGAAAGCUAGGGGAGCAAACAGG